AUGACGGCCAGCUUCGGCCGCCGCCUCCGCCCGACGUCGGCGCCGCCGCUCGACGACGACGACCUGCUCGACGAGAUCCUCCUCCGCCUCCCACCGGAUCCGUCCUCCCUCCCGCGCGCCUCCGCCGUCUGCACCCGCUGGCGCCGCCUCGUCUCCGACCCCGGCUUCGUCAGCCGCUUCCUCCUCCGCCACCGCCUCCGCCCUCCCAUCCUCGGCUGCUUCAUCACGGACCAGCGAAGGGCGACCGUCUCCUUCGUACCUACCAUGGAGGCCCCCAAUCGUCUCCCCGCCGAGCGCUUCUCCUUGCAGCUCGGCGACCGCGACCGCUUCAGUCUCCUCAGCUGCCGCCACGGCCUCCUGCUCAUGUUCCUCCCGCUGUGGAGCAAGGUCCUGGUGUGGGACCCCGUCGCCGGAGACCAGCACCGCCUGGACAUUCCCCCAGGGUUCGACACGAAGAAGGAGAUUGGCGGGGCGGUGCUUCGCGCCGCCGGGGCCGUCCGCCACUUCCAGGUGGUCUUAGUGGGCAGAGACAAACAGAACAUACUCGCCUGCGUUUACUCAUCCGAGGCUGGCGUAUGGAGCAAACUGAUCUCAACUCCGCUUCCAAAUCCGUUUUGCUACGAGUUUAUGGGCGUGCAUCCUGUGCUGGUUGGGGAUUCCCUUCACUGGUUUAUUAACUGUGGUUUUCAUAAAAUCCUUGAGUUUGAUUUGCAUAGGCAGAUCCUAACUGUGAUACCAGGGCCCUUGGAUGAGUUUCCUGUGGGCAUUUCCCAAAUCCUGGUUAUGCGGGCAGAGGAUGGUGGGCUUGGUGUUCUAUUCAAGUCAGGCUGCAAUGUCCAAUUAUGGAAGAGGAAGAUUGAUUGUGAUGGCGAGGCCUCAUGGGUGCUGGGAAGAACUUUUGAUCUAGACACACUAUUUUCCCUGAAUUCAGAGGAGAUAAAGUACAUGGUGAUCCUAGGCUUGGCUGAGUACAAUAGUACGGUGUUCGUGCGGACAGUUGUCGGCCACUUCAUGGUGCAGCUUGAGUCAUUGAAGUUCAACAAGACGUUCGAAACCAACAUUUGGAAUUUCCAUCAACCAUUUGAAAGUGUCUAUACUGGAGAAACAAGCAUUGGUGGUGGACACAAUGGAGCUGAACUUUUGCACAACACAUAA
rnacentral:rRNA from 1 species